rnacentral:rRNA from 1 species
GAUGAACGCUGGCGGCGUGCCUAAUACAUGCAAGUCGAGCGAACAGACGAGGAGCUUGCUCCUCUGACGUUAGCGGCGCACGGGGGAGUAACACGUGGAUAACCCACCUAUAAGACUGGUAUAACUUCGGGAAACCGGAGCUAAUACCGGAUAAUAUAUUGAACCGCAUUGUUCAAUAGUGAAAGACGGUUUUGCUGUCACUAAUAGAUGGAUCCGCGCCGCAUUAGCUAGUUGGUAAGUUACAAGCUUUCCAAGGCAACGAUGCGUAGCCGACCUGAGAGAGUGAUAGGCCACACUGGAAGUGAGACACGGUCCAGGCUCCUAAGGGAGGCAGCAGUAGGGAAUCUUCCGCAAUGGGCGAAAGCAUGACGGAGCAACGCCGCGUGAGUGAUGAAGGUCUUCGGAUCGUAAAACUCUGUUAUUAGGGAAGAACAAAUGUGGAAGUAACUAUGCACGUCUUGACGGUAACUAAUCAGAAAGCCACGGCUAACUACGUG